AUCAUUAAGCCACUUCUUCACAGCACGAUUUGUAAUCUGCUUCUCCUCCGCAUCGUCGAGUAGUCCGUUGACAGUAUUCAGUGUUUCAUUCAGCUUUUCCAGAAGACCAUCAUCGAGUUUGUGGCUUUGGAAGAAGCCCAGAACCUCACGAGAGGCCAACCUGUCGACCAGAACCUCAAUGAGAGCAGAGAGAAUUGAUCCUCCGAUCAACUCCAGAGACAUGGUGGAUUUUUGCAGAAGGGUGAGGGUGGGAAUAUGUGAGAGAAAAGGAGUUGUGGAAAGCAGGAGCCUUGGUGGAUUUUUGCUAAAGGGUGAGAGAGUGAUUAUGUGAGAGAGAAUGAUAAGCCA
rnacentral:lncRNA from 1 species